GCCUAGGAUAGCUCAGUUGGUAGAGCAUGAGACUCUAAUCUAGAGACAUGGGUUCAAGCCCCAUGUUGGGCA